UGCGUAGGUGGCAUGGUAAGUUUGAUGUGAAAUCUCCGGGCUUAACCCGGAAAAGGCAUUGAAUACUACUGUGCUGGAGGUUUGGAGGGGGGACUGGAAUUCUCGGUGUAGCAGUGAAAUGCGUAGAUAUCGAGAGGAACACCAGUGGCGAAGGCGAGUCCCUGGACAACACCUGACACUGAGGCACGAAAGCCGGGGGAGCAAACA
rnacentral:rRNA from 1 species